rnacentral:rRNA from 1 species
GCCGGAUAACAUUUAGAACCGCAUGGUUCUAAAGUGAAAGAUGGUUUUGCUAUCACUUAUAGAUGGACCCGCGCCGUAUUAGCUAGUUGGUAAGGUAACGGCUUACCAAGGCAACGAUACGUAGCCGACCUGAGAGGGUGAUCGGCCACACUGGAACUGAGACACGGUCCAGACUCCUACGGGAGGCAGCAGUAGGGAAUCUUCCGCAAUGGGCGAAAGCCUGACGGAGCAACGCCGCGUGAGUGAUGAAGGUCUUCGGAUCGUAAAACUCUGUUAUUAGGGAAGAACAAAUGUGUAAGUAACUAUGCACGUCUUGACGGUACCUAAUCAGAAAGCCACGGCUAACUACGUGCCAGCAGCCGCGGUAAUACGUAGGUGGCAAGCGUUAUCCGGAAUUAUUGGGCGUAAAGCGCGCGUAGGCGGUUUCUUAAGUCUGAUGUGAAAGCCCACGGCUCAACCGUGGAGGGUCAUUGGAAACUGNNAAACUUGAGUGCAGAAGAGGAAAGUGGAAUUCCAUGUGUAGCGGUG